ensembl:misc_RNA
CCUCCAGAGGUGGCUGUCAAACAUCUGGGCUUGCAGCUGGGGCCAGACAUGGGGGUGGGAGCUUGGUCCAUGAUGACUCAGCUCUCUUGGGA